rnacentral:lncRNA from 1 species
CUCAAUCAACAAGCAACAAAGCUCUCCCAGCACCAGCAACAGUAACAGCAGAAGCAGAAUCAGCUACAGCUACAACCACCACAGUCGAUAAACCAGUACCUGAGCCAGAAACAGUUGCAGCUACAACAACCACUGUAGAUAAACCAGUACCUGAGCCAGAGCCAGUGCCAGAGCCAGUGCCAGUGCCAGCGAUUGAAGCUGCAGUCGCUGCACAAGUAAUCACAGAACCAACCGAAACAGAAGCCAAACCAAAACCUCAUUCAAGACCUCUCUCUCCAUAUGCAUCGGUAAUGUUUCUACUUUCUCAUAAAGAGGCUCUUUUGGUGGGAAAUAAAGAAACCUUUAAGCUGUUUAUAAUUAUAAUUUGGACCUCCGUUGAUCCUUGAAGAAGUAUCUUUAUGAUUUACGAGUUCGUACAUGGGUUUCUGUUAUCGUUUAUUAAUAUGAUGUCUUUCUUAACUCUUUUACAGUACCCUGACUUGAAGCCUCCAUCUUCUCCGAUGCCAUCGCAGCCCUGAAAACAGCUAAGAACAGUCUCUCUCUCGUUACUUAGUCUGGUUUUGUCCUCCUGCAAACAGAAGAACAAAAGUGGUCGAAUAUUGUAACUUGUUCUUUUUUCUCUCGUUUUUUCUCCCGAACUUAGAUGCUACUUUGUGUCGAAUCUGAGAUAAGUGGACUUUGUUUUGUUUUUCUCCCUUUAUACCACCAUUGAGUUCAAACAAGAGUCUGUCAUCGCGUUAAAGGGGAUCAGAAGCUGUGUGAGGGGUGUAUUGGACGAAAUAAAAGUUGUGGGGAAAUUUCCAAAUAUCUUGUGAUUACUGGAUCUUGUGGGAUAGAUCUCUUUCUUUCUCUUAUUCUGGAUUCCCUAUACAUAACAAAAAGGUUAAAUGGGGUAAUGAAAAGUGUGACAUAUACUUAGCAUAAACCAAUGUGUAGAAUAAUCCAUGUUUCCUUUAUUAAGUGCUAUGCGUUAAUCGGCAUCUAUAAAGUGUUGCAUUGAUGAACAAAGUGGAUGCCUAAACUAGACGUUUAACUAAAUGUUUAGAAUGAAAUCUUCAUCUCAUCUAAAAAGUGUUGCAUUGAUGUAAAAAGUGGAUGCCCAUUAGUUCUUGGCUUUGAAAUGUUUUUAGAAUGAAAUCUUCAUCAAUCUCCAUAUGUGGUUCAAUCCACUCAUUUUAUCUUUUGUUAAAGAUGUUCUUCAGGCCAAUAUAAUGAUGACCAUGGAUGGUUUGCAACUCGCAUAUAACACUUCUUUAUCCGAUGGUUACAAGUAUUACAUGGCUAUAGAUAGCUUUUGCAUGCAACAAAUUAUCUAUCAAAGUUUAUGCAUCCUCUAAAAUAUGGUCAUUGGCAAGCCACUAAACGUAUAUAUUGUGACAAUGUAUGAUGAUAUAUUUUUAUGUGUUGACUCCGUUUUUCAUUAAGUAAUGAAACAUGUUGCUCUAGAUUACCAUUUUAAUCGCAAACAUAUAUGUUGCUCUACCACGCAUUGCAUCAAAUGAUAAGCUUGAGGACGCUUCGACAAAAACAUAUUUCUCCUUCUUCUUACUGAACCAAAUGACAAUUGACAAACCCCAUUAAUAAAAUCGGUUAGUGUUAAUGUGUCACUCAUAAUAUUAACUUAGUAAAGAACAAGACCACAUUAAUUAAAUCAGGUGUUAGUCUGAGAAUAUACGUUUCUCUUCCUCAUUCCAAACUUAAAUUCGGAAUUUACUGAGAAUAUAUUGUUAGCACUGAAAAAGGUUAAGUUGAAAGUUUGCUAGGGAUGGCAAUUAAAUAUAGUCUUGCCUUGGGGAUAUUCCCUUCGUGGACUUGUAAGUUUAUUUAUAGGUCCUCUUAUGUAUAUAUAGAUGAUCUAACGAUCGAUAUACUAUGAAAAAAGUUGUUACUAGAUUUUAUUGCAGGUAAUAGUGUUGAAUAACCCGAACCAAUAAAGCAGUUGUAACGAACACACGACACGUUGCUUACUGCGAGGACCACUUUGUUUUUUGUUUUUUUUGGCUUUAAGCCAAUUUAGGACCAAAUUUGCAUGAUUGAGGAUGCAAGUAUCCAACCCAUUUUCAUCUUUCGUAGUGACACUCAUUUACUUUUGUGAUGGACACGUUAUAGUAUAUCUUAAAUAUUAAAGAGACAUGAUUGGGGGAUCAUUGUUUUAAUUUAAAUAAUGUAGAUUCUAUUCUUUUCAUGGUAUUAAUCCAAUUUAUAGAAAGUUAUGUGUUAUUAGCAAUUAAGCUAAAUGAUGAAAACAAUCAGUUUAGUGAAACAAACUCGCCGAGAAAACAUGAAUGGUUGAAAAUAUUAUUGUGUUUUACAAACGUACACGAGGACAAUAGUUUUGUAAGUUUUUCUUAGGCAUUGAAAAAUGUUUGAUACAAAAAGUAAUGUUAAAAUAAUUAAAAAUGAUUUUGUCUUAAUAUAUCCAAAAUUUCAAUCUAUUAUGAACAAAGGGAGUAUAAUUUCUGAUUGAAUGAACUGGAAUAGCAAUCAGAAAAGCUUUGAAAACAAUUGUUGUUGAUUAUUAAUGAUCUUAAUUAACGGCAUGUAUCAAUAUUUAUACAACUUAUGUUCCAGUCCAAGCCAUCACAACGGAGUAAAUGAAGUCACGGGUACUUGUGGUUUUUAUUGGUUGCAAACUUGCAACUUGCAAAGAUAGCUAACAAUAAUUAAUAUAAUUAAUGAGAACAAAACCAAUUUAGUAAAUUAAAAUCCUUUAACAUAGAAACCGACCAAACCCGUUGGACCGUUGGUUACUUGAUUUGGUUAGUUGCUAUAAAUAGAAAUGAUGGUUCGUGUGCAACCUUCAAAAUACGACCACUCUCUCAGAGUACUCUCUUAGUUUCUUUCUUCUUCUUCUUUGUAAUACGGUGCCGUUUGACAUGGAUAACCAUCGCAGGACUAAGCAACCCAAGACCAACUCCAUCGUUACUUCUUCUUCUGAAGGUAAGCUGAAAACUUAAACACCUUCGUUUUCUCAUUUUUCCAUGUUUUUUUAUACUUAUCUAUAUAUAAUGAGAAAUCUGAAUUUUGGUGAUGACAAGGAACAGAAGUGAGUAGUCUUGAGUGGGAAGUUGUGAACAUGAGUCAAGAAGAAGAAGAUUUGGUCUCUCGAAUGCAUAAGCUUGUCGGUGACAGGUUUGAUCUUUUAACUAAUAAUGAAUACUAUUUCGUAGGAAAAUAAUUUAAUUGUAACACCAUAGUAAAAGCUGAAUUUUGUGUGUUAUUAUUUGAUGAAAGGUGGGAACUGAUAGCUGGGAGGAUCCCAGGAAGAACCGCUGGAGAAAUUGAGAGGUUUUGGGUCAUGAAAAAUUGAAAAGUGAUCAAUAUAUCUCUAUAGUUUCACUGAUUGUUUCGAUUAUAUUCCGUUGUAUUUUAAAUUUACCAACUCUGUUAUAAGAAGAAAACUUUCUUAAAUCCCAAACCAUUUAACUCUCAAGAACCAUUUAUUGUGUGGGCUACGAAUAUUUGGGCCUUCCAAGCCUAAAUUUAUUUUUUUGCCAUCCUAGUAAUUUCUAGAAGCUAAGUCGUAGAUGUUGUACGUGGAUAUUUCAUUAAUUUCUGCUUAAAGCCUUAAACACUUGACACAUGAAAGUGGCAAAUAACCUACUUCAAAACAAAACAAAAGUGGAAGUCGUUUUACAAGUCAUAAAAUGACAUGCUGUCUUCAGGUCCCACACAUGUUUUCUGUAUAUUUGUCGUUAACGCUAUUUCACCUACUCCACACACACACACUUAUUUUCUUGGUCAUCCACGUUUUAGACUUUUAGUUUUUCCUUAAUCUCUGAUCCAUAACCACGAAACGGACGAUCUUCAAUAAAAACCCAUAACGUAUCUCAUUACCAAACAAACAUAUUGUUGAAAUCUAUGUGUCUCACUGAUGAUCUAUAUAUGUAACUCUUGAGAUUGCAACAAAUGUUUAGAACUUGAACAAACUGUUAUUUUUAUAAGCCAUAUAUAUAUUUAACUAUUGACGAUAGACAAUUGAUGAUUCUCUUGAACAAUAUUUAACUAUAUAUGCAACAUCUUCUUCUAAGCUGAUCUUAAUUGCAACAUCUUCUACGAAUUAAUCAAAAGCCAAAAACAUAUACAAAUAAAAGUUGAGACAAACGAAGCAAAGAAAAGUAGAACAUACAUAUACAUACAGAAACACAUUUGCACAAAUCCCACCGUUGAUUAUACAAAUCAUAUUAGAACAUCAAAUAUUUAGUGGUUGCCAUUUUGCUCUAACUCUUUUUUGUGGGCUUUCCACUUUAAGGCCACAAGACUAAGUGCUUUUGUCGAAGUCCCAUCAUCCUUCAACACCCUACAAGCUGCUUCCUUCAACUCCUUCAUCUUGUUCCUCACUCCUUUGCCUUCUUCACCUUCCAUCAAUCCUUUUACCACUCUAGCCACCUCUUCUCUUCUAACUAACCCAUCGUCCCCGGCACGCGGCCUAAGUGCCGCACGAAUAUCUUCACUCAACAAAACCGCAUUCAUCUUCUGUUCUGCGUAUAAUGGCCAUGCUAUAAGUGGAAUACCGCUUACUACACUCUCUAGAGUCGAAUUCCAUCCACAAUGAGUUAAAAAUCCUCCCGUGGAUGGAUGCGCCAAGACUUGGGCUUGUGGAGCCCAAAAAGGGAUCACAAAACCUCUUUUUUUAGUCCGCUCUAAAAAUCCCGGUGGUAAAAAUGUCAAUGGAUCUGUUUGGCUAUGUGAAUCAAAAUACGACGAAUUAGCGAUCCCACUAGGACUUCGUAUGACCCAAAGAAACCGUUGCUCACUAUCUGCAAGACCAAGAGCAAGCUCAUUGAGCUGCUCACAUGUGAGGGUACCGCCACUACCAAAGGACACAUAUAAAACCGAACCGAGCGGCUGGUUAUCCAACCACUUUAAACAUUCAGACUCUUCGGUUUGCUUAGCCUCUUGCUUACCAAUGUUAACCAACGGUCCAACCGGAUAAACCGGUGGUUUAUCAAGACCCGGUUCUUGCAAGGCCUUUAUAGCAUUUGGCUCUAGCUCAAAGAAGGUAUUCACAAGAAUACCUUCGGCUUCUUUGUACCUCUUGGUGUUAUGGAGAAGCCAUUUGUAUGCAUCGUCUUUCCGGUCUUGGGCCGGGUCAAGGAAAUCUUUCCCGGCAACCGGUACACAUCCAGGAAGCAUAAGCGGUUCGGUUAAUUCCCUGAACUCACACGACACCGUUUCGUCUAGUUUAGGCAAAUGGAGAAAAAACGACAAGACGUUGGCCGUUGUUGGGUAGAAAAUAUACGGUGGCACGUGAAAUUCUACGGCCACGUCGAAAGCGUCCGUACCGAAGAGAUCGACGACGAGCGCCGUUGGCAAACGACCUCCCUCCACGAACGAGUCGAAGACUUUCCGGAGCUCCGGGUUUGAACGAGUCACGGUGAGGGAGAUCCGAGAUUCGAUGCGAGUGGACGAAGAGAGAUCGGUGAGAUCAACAGGAGGGAGAAAGACGGAGGAGAUUGAAGAAGGGAGAGAGUCGAGGACGGUUCUCUGAGCUUUUGAUGGUGGACCUUCGCCGGCGAUGACGAAGGUAACGGUGAGGCCGUGAAGAUGGACGAGUCGUUUAGCAAACUCGACGAGUGGUAUGAGAUGACCCAUUCCCGGACUUGGUAUGAUCGCAACGUGAGGUGUUUUGGAUUCCUCCAUUGAUGCAAAUAUUCAAGAACUGAUACUUUGUUCUUUUUUCUUCUUUCUACUUUUGUAGUUUGUGAUUAUUAUCUCCUUUUUUCUUUUUUUUUUUGUAAUUUGUGUGGUAUUAAGUAAUGGCUUUAUAUAGAGAGUUUGUGUGAAUCAUUGAGAGGAGAAAUUCUAUUUUCUAUUUACUUGUAUGUGUUUUUUUUGUAGAAUGUCGCUUGUGGCGACCAUGUUCGAAUAUGAAUAUUUUGGUGACCGAUUAUUUAAACUAAAAAAUCAUCAUUUACGUAAUUCAUUUUUAUACUUAUUAUUUUGUGAUUUCUCAUGUUAAUAUGAAAUCAACCAUUUAAAUUGUGGACAUAUUAAUACAUUUUGAUUUUCAUGUAGAUUUAAAGUAAAGCAUUUAACAAGCUGUGUAAAAUAUAUUCAUAACUUACAUAAAAUUGGGAAUUAUACAUAAUAAUGCUAUUAUAUAAUAUCCAUAAUUGAAACCAAUAUAUAUAUAUAUAUAUGUUUAUUAAAUAUGGUUGCCAAAAGAAUAUAUAUAAAAUUUUCAAUUAUUGGAGAGGGGUAGGGAAAUUGUUGAAAAAAAUUAGUGAUGACCAGCUUUUUUGUGAUUGUGGGUCAAUUAUAUUUGUGCGUGUGAAAUGUCUUGAGCGCACGUGUGAAUAUGUGAUGAAAUGCAAACGUAAUGCUUCCGCAAUGAUUUUUCUCCCCAAUUUUCUUAGCUAUAAUAAAAUAAAAUUCUUUCGCUCUUUUUUUUUUUUUUUACCAUUAACAUUAAAUUUUGGAAUGGUAAUUUGCUAUUACAUAAAAAAUUCUAUAAAUUAAUAAUAUUGGUACCAUAAAAUUUUAUUAAUUUAUAGUGAUAUUAGUUUAUCCUAUAAAUUAAUAAAUAUUUAUAAAUUUUUUUACGUAAAAUACAAUAUUAAAUUCUUUUAAAUAUGUUUUUUAAUUUAAUUUUUCUUAUAUUUUGUUGUUCGUAUAUUCAAUUAUGUUAAAAAUUAUUUUUCUCUUGACUUUUUAAUUUAUUUUUUUACAAAAUAUUGUGUCCGUAUAUUUACGACGUUAACGUGAGGCUUAAUCCAAUUUUUUUUAACACAAAUCUUAGCAAUGAUUAAAAAAUGUUACAAAACCAAAUAUGACGGAUCAAAUACGUAAGGAGUUAUGUGAGUACAAAAGAGAUCAUACCAACUGUACUCUAAAAAGAGUUGUAAUUGUGGCUUGAAUAAAAGUUUUAGAUAAAAUUAGUAUUAGAAUGUAUGCUUAAGAUUUAUGAUUAUUAAUUUAUGAUAUUAUUAGGAUCAUAUUUUUACAUAGGGAUUUCAAAAAGAUUAUUAUCUUAUUAUCUUAUCGAUUUUGGUUAAUUUUUACAUUGACCCGACUUGAGACCGACAAAAUUUAUUAAUUUAUCGUGUUUAUUAAUUUAUCGAAUAUUAAUUUAUAGAGUUUCUACUGUAUUAUUUUCUUUCAUAACAAUGUUUUUCUUUUAUUUGCAAAACAUUUUGCUCUAUACAAAUUAAAAAAUUGACUUCUUGAAAUAUUUUAGGUCAUAGUGGCGACGAUAAAAAGGCAUAUAAUCAUUCAUCGAUAGAUUAGUUUUUAGCAUUUGUUUGAGUGAAGAAAAGUGAAAGUGGAAUUUAUCUCAUAGCCCAUCAUUUUUGUUAUGAUUUACAAAAUUGAAUAUAUGUCCAUGUCCCGCUAAAUCAUAAAGCCUAUUAACUCAUUAUUAUAUCUUUGUCAAUUCGACUUGUGUUGCAUCACCAAUUUUUAAUGAAUAACAUUGCCCAGCUAAACUUAUUAUCACAUAAAGGAUAGUGUGAUAAGUGGUUGGAAUUUAAUAAUUUUGUAUGUAUUUUUCAGCCAGUUUGAACAAGUAUAAGGUAGCAUUAAAUCAAAGAAAAGCUGUCGCAUCAAUACAACUUUUAAACAGAUAUGUUAUCAUAAUUUCAUACAGAAAUAAAUAAAUUAUUUCCACGAGUAAAUAGUUGCUAUAGCUACCAAAUGUCCAAAGAAAUAUAUACAACCAAUACUAAAAAACAAAUUACACAAUAUUGUGAAAUCAAAUUAUUUGUUUUCGAUAUCUGCCAAAUUUGCUGAAGUUACCGAAUGUUCAUCGUAUGGCAUAUGUCACCAGUGACGACUGUCAAUGAUUAUUGGACGAUCCGCACAAGCUACAAAAAACGGUAUGACGACUAUGUCUGGUAAAGUAGAAUGGCACGGUGUUUUUAAUUUAUUCAUUAGCCUCAAAUGUUUUAUUAAUGUCACUGGUAAGAAGGGAUCAGGACAAUCAAAUUAUGGUGUAGGUGCCUUUUUACACAUGUAUGUUUAAUCUUUCAUGUUCACGGAUCUCAGAUUUUAGUUAUCCUCGAUGGGCUACUAGUGAAUACUUUGCAUAUAAAUUGAUCUCUAACUUACAUCUUUUCUGAUUUCAAGUUCAGUGCUCACUUGUUGCAAGAUGAGUUCUUCGUCCACUUUAGAAAUAUUAUUGAUGUCGUUGACUUGGAUUACAAGAAAAGAGAGUAUUACAAAAAAAAUCAAAACAGAGAGACUACAUGAACAUUAAAGACAUGAAACACUAAGCAACACGAGGCAAAGCCGACAACACUAUAUAAUAUAUAUGAACAUAAACAAACAGUCAUCAAUAAAAAGACAAAAGAUCAAUGUAAACAUCCCAAUUAACAAGACGAAACUCAACUACAACUGACCUAAGAACAAACGCUCUCAUGAUGAUGAUCACAAAAACCAUAGGUUUUAAUUCAUAGGUUUUAAAAAAAUGUUUUUCUUUCAUUCAAAAUGCGCAUUUAUCUCUAUUUUUAUAAUGAUCAACAUAAUUUUAGUUUGUCGUCCACCUUCCAAGUACAUAUCGGCUGAUCCAAAUGUUUGUAGCUGCUCUUGUCGCAUGCUUUUAUUCUUGACAUAGUUUAUUCAGCAUACUAUUACAGUCACUGCUUGCUUCUUGUUAUCGAUAUGGUUGAAUUUAGACUAGAUUCAUGUCCUCGUAGUGGUGCAAAGUUAACUUUCCAAGCCCAAGUCGUUUUUUCAGUUUGUGAUCCCUACUUGGUCUCUCCAGUCACAUAACAGGUGUAACAAGCUACUGAUUAAAGAAAAUGCAGAGCAUACAUUACAAGUUUGUUUUUACAUCACAAGUCCUAGUAAGAUCAUUAUUAGCUUUCCACAGAACAACACCUUAAACAAAAUUCACACUGCAAAAUUUUGCAUCGUUUAUUCUUGUUUAGAACCAUUACAAAAUUAAAAUAUAGAACUAUCAUAUACGAGACAUUGACAAGUGGAAUGGCUAUUGACUGUAACUAGCUACAAGCGAUAUCGUGGUACAUUAACCGGUUAAAUCGUAUAGUUCCCGUUCCCGGUUAAGCGUGGUUUCCACCAUCACAUCAUUCCAUGAAUCAAUUGGACCAGGUAAGCACCAAUGCAGACAAUCAUUCUGAACAUUGCUCUUAUUCUUAACUCCAGCAAAAGGAUUUGGAUGCCGGUAUGGUCCCGGAUGCCCGUCUGGACGGAGAAGAGACAUUCCAGUCGUGUCUAAUAGCCUGAUGUUGGAACCUAAGCCAAAACCUUUCCCAAAUUUCUGAAACACCUCAAGCUCAACAUCACGCAUCACAUCAUCUACAGUUUUCAUAUUUGCUUGGCCUUCUUUAAACGGCAUCGUUCUGUUGCAAUACCCACCAGUGUUCCACUCUCCGUUUUCGAAAUGGUCAGGCGUUGUUGUUCGAAACAGAACCAGCGGUUUGUGGGUUGAGUUUAGGACGAAGUCACGGAGAAGGUUUAGGGUUUUGCGGUAGGAGUAAUCAUAGCCGAGAUCAGUUAGGUUGUUUCUUCCUUGGCAGUAAUGACAGCCCGUGACUACGUUGUUUUCAUGGAAAAUUGUUGUUUUAAGAAACCAUUUGCCUCCAGAGAUAACAACGUAGUCGAAUUUCGGGUAUUGGACAGUCCAUUUGUGGUCAAGCUGGUCGAGGUAAAGCUGAAUAUCCGAGUUGCUAGAUGUUUCGGAUUUGAGAAGGAAAGGAGACCAAAUGACUGAUAGUGUGAAGUUGUGAGAAGGGAAUCUCCAUAUCUUGGAUCUGAACUCCUUAUCGUGAUAGAUUUCCUCCACUUCUUCCACCUGAGACAGUUAAAUCAAAGGUCUUGAUUACUUACUUGUAGUCUAAGGAAACUUUCAUUAACACAAAAACCAAACUCAUUCUCUGAAUAAAAGAAUCAACAAACCUGAGAGAGAAUGCAGAUGAGAGACUGGACAUGAUUACGAGCAAUGGAAUCACCGAUAAAAGCCCACCAUUUGUUCUUCACUGAAGCAAGAAACUGCGAUGGACUAAACCUAGGAAGAUCACAAUCACGAGGCUUCCAUCUCCAGAAGAGAUAAUUCACAUCUGGUCGUCCAUUCAAUAGGCAGUUCUGAAAAUCUUGAAUGUGACGACAAGUGACAUUUGUGUACAGAGGACCUGUUGGAUCUGGUAUCCAAUCUCCGGUGAAAAGAUCACACUUUGCUGAUGAAACUACAAAAAUGAAAUCACAAAUAGACAUUUAAUCAAAUACAUGGUAAACACAAACACUUUAAACCCUAAAUUACAAGUUUUGAUCGAAAGCUUCGAAAUUUCCAAAAUUAAACCCAACCCAACAAUCAUUGAAUCUCCAUAUUUGGAAAGAUUCUCGAAUCUUUAUCAAAGAUCAAAUUCGAAAUUGAAGGACAACGAACUGCGAAAGAAAGAUUACCGUUUCCGGGAGAAGAUUGCGGCAAUGUUGGGGGAAUUGGAGAGACGGCGAGACUGGAGAUGAUGAAAUAGUAAGCAAGAGCGACGAGAGAGAAGUAAAGGAAGAAUUUGACGAAGGUUCGAUGGCGGUGAUCAGUGCAGGAGGGAACAGAAGAAGAAGAAGAAGAAGAAGAAGAAGAAGCGGCUUCUUCAAAGGUUUCUACAUAUUUGGCGCCUUUUGGGCUAUCAAGCAAUACUAAGGUUAAUUGUUGUUCCAUUGAAGAAGAGAGCACAGUGAAUUUGGUGGAAGCUAUUCAAUGAUUUUAUAGUUGGACUCGUGAGAAUGAGAUGGUUAGGUUUGAGAUUAACUUUUAGGAUCUUUGUGACCAUGAAAGUGAUGUUUUGUUACCCUUUUUUACUUUUAUUAAAUGCAGGAAUAAUAAUUUUGUGAAUUUCAGACAGUCUAUUUAUUAAUUACUGCAGAAAAAGUAAUUUUAUUGAUACAAAAUAUUUUGUCUCAAUAGAAACAUAUUUGUAACAGUAAAAACUAUUGUCAUGAAUUUGUGACAAGUAGUAAAUUGUAGUGAUACAAUCGUUACAAAAAAAUAUGGUAUUAAAAAGUCACACCAUUGUGAGAUAUACAAUAUAUUUGAUUACAAUUUUGUCACAAACAACGACAAGAAAGAAGAAUAACAAAACCGUAACAAUUACAGAUUUGAAUUAUACUUUCGAACUGUCAUAUUAUAUUUUUUCUGUUCCUUUUUAUUUGAUUUUUUUGGAAAAAUAUUUGUUUUAAAAAGAUUGAUUUUGUAAAUUUUCUAUUCAAUAUUUAUUAGUUAUUAUUAAUAAAUUGUAAAUUUUAAUAGUUCAAUCAUUGGUUUAAAAUAAUAAAAAAUUGUAAAACACAAAAAAAUAAUAUAUUUAAUAUCAAUUUUAAUAUAUUUUUUUUAAUAUGUGUAUUUUUCCUAAAAUAUCAAAUAAAAAUGAAAAGAGGGAAUAUUAUAGUACAACUAUUCACACACCAUGCAACAUUGAAUAUACUGCGACAUUGAAUAUACCAUCACCCUGGAAUUAUGUUAACCACAGUCAACAAAAAAGAAAAAGUUAAUUAGCUCUGUGUAAGAAAAAAAAAAAGAAAAAUUUAAUUAGCAUUGUUGUUCCAAGAUUUUUUUUUGUCCAAGAAGCAUAUAUGAUUAUAGGCUAAAUUGUUGGGCAUUCUUUUAAGUUAUAACAAAUAUUUUUGUAGAUUUCUUUGUGACAGCAAUAUAUAUUGGAAAUGGAAUAAAGAAUAUUUCAGGAUUUGUUUUUUACAAUUAUGACUUUUGAUAGUGAAAUUCUGAUUAAAAAAUUCAGAAAAGUUUUUUUUUUUCAACUUUGCUUGAGGAAUCCAAAAAUAUGUUGGACCAGCCCAGAUGGUCUCAUUGUCCUUGUGUUUAUUAAUCACAUAUUAGUAAUAACUUGAGUUUUUUUCUUUUAAUUUAUGUGAAGAAGCACAUGCCCUGCUUUUGGUCCUCACACCUUUUAUCUCAACUUAGGUGGUAUACUUGUAUCUCCACAGCCUUUCGUUACAACAAUAUCAACCUUUCUCUUGAAUCUUGGAACUUAGCAAACACGGAAGCACCACACUUUUUGAUGAUAUAUUGGGUUAUUCAAAACAUUGCUAUGUUUGUGAAUUCAUGAGACUUAUUAGUUAUUAGAAUGAUGCAGGUAACUAGUUUAAAUAUUUGGUAUAAGUUUAACAAUGGUAGAAUUGGUUUUUAACAUUUGCGUGAAUGAACUAACACUAGUGUUAGUAUAUAAAGAGAUAUGAAACAUUCUAGUGACUCCAAUUAUUGCUAAUAAUAUUUUAUUUUAUUUCUUCAUUGCUAAAAUUUUUUUGUAUUGAGAAUUUCUUGAUUCCUCACAAUUUUAUUAUUAGUGGACAACUUCUGCUUACUCGUUUUUCUCAUGCUCGCUACUAGUUAGUAUCUUUUUGUUCUUACUCUAAUUUUGUAUUUUUCUAAGAAAUAUUGAAACAUGAAAACUAAACGAACGGACCACGAGGCCUGUUAAGAACAGAUUCUCUUUCUUGUUUGAUAUUGAUAUUGAUAUUGGGCCCAUGAGUAAGUUAUAAUCUGUUGUCUUGUAUUUUAGGAAGGACCCACUUCAGAAA